rnacentral:rRNA from 1 species
CAAGUCGAGCGAACAGACGAGGAGCUUGCUCCUCUGACGUUAGCGGCGGACGGGUGAGUAACACGUGGAUAACCUACCUAUAAGACUGGGAUAACUCCGGGAAACCGGGGCUAAUACCGGAUAACACAUGAAACCGCAUGGUUUCAUGAUGAAAGACGGUUUUGCUGUCACUUAUAGAUGGACCCGCGGCGUAUUAGCUAGUUGGUAAGGUAACGGCUUACCAAGGCAACGAUACGUAGCCGACCUGAGAGGGUGAUCGGCCACACUGGAACUGAGACACGGUCCAGACUCCUACGGGAGGCAGCAGUAGGGAAUCUUCCGCAAUGGGCGAAAGCCUGACGGAGCAACGCCGCGUGAGUGAUGAAGGUCUUCGGAUCGUAAAACUCUGUUAUUAGGGAAGAACAAGGGUGUAAGUAACUAUGCACCCCUUGACGGUACCUAAUCAGAAAGCCACGGCUAACUACGUGCCAGCAGCCGCGGUAAUACGUAGGUGGCAAGCGUUAUCCGGAAUUAUUGGGCGUAAAGCGCGCAUAGGCGGUUUUUUAAGUCUGAUGUGAAAGCCCACGGCUCAACCGUGGAGGGUCAUUGGAAACUGGAAAACUUGAGUGCAGAAGAGGAAAGUGGAAUUCCAUGUGUAGCGGUGAAAUGCGCAGAGAUAUGGAGGAACACCAGUGGCGAAGGCGACUUUCUGGUCUGCAACUGACGCUGAUGUGCGAAAGCGUGGGGAUCAAACAGGA